rnacentral:lncRNA from 1 species
UCACCGUGUUCAGACACGGUGAAUGGUUCACAGUGUUCCAUAGAACUAUCAGCACUUACAAAUUUUUUUAACGCAAAAAAUCAUAUAAUACAACAUCACAACGCAACAACAAAUUCAAUGCAACAAUACAAGUAAUUCAACAUUAACAAUACAACAACAAAUCCGACAGAAUAUCAAUAAAGUAUCAAUACCAGAUCAUCACAACAGAAUAUCAAAAAUUAAAGCAAGUUUUUCAAUAAUAUAAAAAUAUAAUAUCAUAUUCUCCACCUAGUCCCUCGACCACGUCGCCUACCACGUCCGCGACCACGAUCAACACCAUGCUCAUCAAAAGGCUUUAAGACCUCCAACUG